GCCCACGUAGCUCAGGCAGUAGAGCAUGCGCAUGGUAAGCGCAAGGUCCGCAGUGCAAAUCUGCGCGUGGGCU
rnacentral:tRNA from 1 species